AAUGAACGUUGGCGGCGUGGAUUAGGCAUGCAAGUCGAGCGGUCAUCAGCAAUGGUGGGAGCGGCGAACGGCGUAGUAAGACGUAGGAACGUACCCUCGGGACGGGGAUAGCAUGGGAAACUGUAGGUAAUACCCGAUAAUCUCUGCGGAGCAAAGGUGUGAUUCCGCCUGGGGAGCGGCUUACGCGAUAUUAGCUAGUUGGUGGGGUAAUGGCCUACCAAGGCGAUGAUGUCUAGGGGGUGUGAGAGCAUGGCCCCCCACGACCGGAACUGAGAUACUGUCCGGACACCUACGGGUGGCUGCAGUCGAGAAUCUUCCGCAAUGGACGAAAGUCUGACGGAGCGACGCCGCGUGCGGGAUGAAGGCCCUUGGGUUGUAAACCGCUGUCAGAGGGGAUGAAAUCUUC
rnacentral:rRNA from 1 species